rfam:Pseudooceanicola marinus strain CECT 7751 genome assembly, contig: 0003
CGGUCGGCAGUUCCCAAGGCCCGCUGCGCCCUUCGGGGCAUGCUAAACCUGCCU